UCAUUGCUAUUUGCCCAGGCUGGGUAUUUUAAAACUAAUGCAACAGAUCUGCUGACUCUCAUGUUACAAAGAUUGUCAAGUUCAGUGAUUUGGAAGAAAUAUUUGUAGCUUUUUUAUAUUUGUACUUUGCUGUAGAAUCAACCAGGAGCCUCAACACAUUGGUUAACCCCACAGGAAGAAAGCAAGUACUGGAAACAAUUCUUGAGUUACCCUCUCCUGGUGUAAAUGAGCUUGCCCUGAAGACACUUCUACAAAGAGCAUCUGUCCCUCUCAGGGUGGUUCUGGAAUCCAAUCCUCAUGGAGUCUCACUAUACAACUUCAGUAUCCAUGCUUCUCAGUACACAGCACUGCUGUCAAUCAUGAAGAUCAAGAACACUAUUAACUUUCUUGUGCUGAAAAUGACCAAUGGCCUUUCGUAAGAACCUUUACCAAAAUGACAGGGGACACUAAAAUGAGAAACUCUUUGACAACUGAACAUAAAUAAUUUUCAGGAUUCCAAAGUAAUAUUUUACCUUGGCAGCUGCUCUGAUCAGUUUAAUUGGAAAAUGCUUUCAGUUCUGUGACUGAGAAAGAAGAAUGUGACUCUGGACUCUAUAAACGUUCUGGAUUUAUGAUUGUCUUAGUUUUCCCAUGCCCUUUUGCCUGGGACUUGUUAGGGUGCUUACAAAAACUGCUUUUGUAAAAUGCCUUGGUAGUUCUGGAUUUUUAAGAGGAGUGCUCACAGACAGUGGAAGGUGGAUUCAGCUACCAAAAGAAACUUUUUGUUCUAAUAAUCACUUUGAUUUGCUUAAUGUGUAACCUACAGGGGAAUACCAUUCAGUGGGUUGUCAGAGUUCACAUGAUUCUGUAUGUAAUUACGUUGGUAUUAUAAUUGCCUAUAAAUGUCUAUGCUGGAAAUGAUGUAAGUUUCUGACCAGGGGGUAUGUUUUUACAUUAUUGCAUUAUUCAUGUUUAAAGCAAGUUGGUGGAGAAUAUAAUUGGAAAGAGAGAAAACAAGGAAUUUAGAUUAAAGCCCUUUAUAGUAAAAGAAUUUGGGUUUGGAAAAUUUAUUUUUGCAUGGCAGGAUUGUUGUAAGGCAGAUUAAGACAUUUCCUAUCCUAUAGAAUCAUUAUUUCUGCUCAGAAAAAGAAUUUAAAUUUAAUAAUUGGGGCGAUUUUGGAAGAAGUCUUGACCUUAUGAACAAAUCCUGAAAAUAAUGUGUUUUGGAACAAAACAAAUCAUUGUGAGAUUGUACAGAUUCAUGUAGAACACUGCACUAUAGCAAUAAUUCAGGGAAUGAUAUUAUAGCAUUAAUCAGCUUGCAAAGUAGUUAAAAGUAGUUUCAGUAUGCUUGUGGACUACUUUCCUCUGUUUUUCUGCAGAAGUGGAAUCAGUUUCUUUAUAUUUCACAGGAAAGGUCAUAAAAUCAGUUAGAUUAGAAAUGUAGCAAUUUCUACACAUGUGAACUAGCUAAAUGCCCUACUUUAAUUACUGUCAAGUAAUAAUAUAAUUUAAACUAACAUUUUUUUUUGCUUUUU